GGCGGAUGUACAAUGCACAUGUACAUCCUUCCAAAAAAACUAAACCGAUCCUGAAAGGCUGCCACAGGGACACUGUAACUCGUGGGCUCUGUUCCCCUCUGCUGAGCCUCAGGGAUAAAUUUUGUUACAGACAUUG